AGCGAACGCUGGCGGCAGGCUUAACACAUGCAAGUCGAGCGGGCAUCCUUGUGGUGUCAGCGGCAGACGGGUGAGUAACGCGUGGGAACGUGCCCUUCGGUUCGGAAUAACUCAGGGAAACUUGAGCUAAUACCGGAUACGUGCGAGAGCAGAAAGGUUUAUCUGCCGAAGGAUCGGCCCGCGUCUGAUUAGCUAGUUGGUGAGGUUAUGGCUCACCAAGGCGACGAUCAGUAGCUGGUCUGAGAGGAUGAUCAGCCACACUGGGACUGAGACACGGCCCAAACCCCCGCGGGGGGACGCAGUGGGGAAUUUUGGACAAGGGGGGCACCCCUGAUCCGGCCUGGCCGGGGGGGUGAGGGGGGCUUUGGGUUUUAAAAGCUCUUUUUCCCGGGAGGAUAAGGAGGGAACCGGGGAAAAAAGCCCCGGCAACCUUCGG
rnacentral:rRNA from 1 species